GUAUUGGAAAGUUGGCACAGCCUCUGCAAUGUGAAAUAUCGAAGAAUCAUUACGACCUGACCCUCAACGUGGAGCGGCCAGGUUUCCCGACAGAGCGGGACACGGACAAAGGCGUCCUCACUGGGUAACCGGUGGGACGCC
rnacentral:sRNA from 1 species